GUAAUUUAAAAAAGUUGUGCCACAUCAGCACCAUGUCAGCAGCCACGUCAGCGGCCCGGUCAGCAGCCCCGGCCAACCAGGACGCGCCGCGUGGCAAGGAAACGCUGACCAGGGGACAGGCCACGUGGGCGAUCUGUGUGCGCGCGAUCGGACGACCCAGAUCCGUUCCCGCGCGCACGGACGGCCCAGAUCAAACAUGCGCACGGACGGCCCAGAUUCAAUCAGGCACGGACAGCUCAGAUUGCAUCGCGAUGGACGGUCCAGAUUUAAUCCUAAUUAAAUCACGAUCGAACGGUCUAGAUUUAAUCUUGAUGAACGGCUGAGAUUAAAAGAAAAAGGGUAUAAAUAACCCCACCCACACCUAACCAGAAAACCCUAGCCGCCAGUCCCUUGCCGAAGAAGAAGAACCAGACGCCGGAGGAACCAGCCGCCGCCGCACCGGGGAAGUUUCCGACCGCUUAUUGAGGUAAAAUUUCUCCUCCCUGCUCAUUUUUUGAUGCUGAGUCCGCCUAUGGCC
rnacentral:lncRNA from 1 species